UUCCUUUUUAACCGUGUGUCAUGUUUUGCAGAUAUUUCAUAGUAAUUGAUGAUCUAUGAGAUUCUGAAACAAUGAAUAAUGAAACUUGGGAUACUAUUAAAUUUGCUUUGCCAGGAAAAAACUGUGGUAGUAGAGUGAUCACAACAACAAGGAUUGAUCAUGUUGCUCGUGCCUGUUGCUAUGAUGAAAUGAAAUAUAUUCUUAUGAUGAAUCCACUCAGCGACAAUGACUCAAGAACACUAUUCUUAAGCAGAAUAUUUGGUCCAAAGGAACCUUGCCCAGAUGCACUUAAAGAUAUUUCAAUUCAUAUUCUAAAAAGAUGUGGUGGUUUGCCACUUGCUAUCAAUAGUAUAGCAAAUCUUCUAAUUGGUGAUCAGCGAAGGUCAAUCCUGGGAUGAUGUAAGGCAAAAUUGGAGUGCUAUGAUGAAAGGAAAUGCUCUUGAAAGGAUGAACCAGAUAUUGGAUCUGAGCUACGUACAUCUCCCUUAUCAGCUGAAGACAUGCCUUCUUUAUGUUGGUAUGUAACAAAAUAGCAACAAAGAUCUACAUCAAAUGUUGAGGAAAUGGGUUGCAGAAGGUUUCGUAGAAAAGAGUACAAAUGAUGGGGUAGAUGAAGAUGUUGCAGAAUUAUACUUGAGGGCACUCAGAGGGAUGUGUAUGUUACAAGUAGAUAAGGUAGGCUACUGCAACGGUGAAGUAUUGCAUUACAGAGUACACCCUAUAAUGCUUGAUCUUAUCAGAGUCAAGGCCGCAAAAGAGAAUUUUAUUCAUGUAAUUGAUGGUUCAAAAAGUAUGGGAGGGGAUAUCCAUCGAGUCUCAGUCCACCACAAUGAUAAAGUGGAUAAGCAAAUUUUGGGAGCAAUCGAGGAAGGGUCACUAUCGCAUGUUCGGUCAGUCUUUCUUCGUCGAAGCUCACUUGCGCCUUAUUUUCUGGAUCUUAAGUAUGUCCGAGUGCUACACAUUGAAUAUAAGUACUCUUCCAUGGAUGGCCUAGAUCUCACCGGCAUCAAUACGUUGUCUCUCCUACGGUAUUUGAAGGUUAGUUCUGUUGACGAGUCUAUAUAUGAGCUUAAGCUACCUAGUAAAAUUGGGGACCUCCAGGAAUUGGAGACCAUAGAUCUGCAUAAUGCAUCCCUGAAAAACUAUCCAUCAGAUAUAGUUAGUUUGCCAUGGUUAAGGCAUCUCAUCUCGACAGGAAAUAAAGUUGGUGUAGUAUUACCUGAUGAGAUCGAGAGGUUAGAAACCCUGCGCACUCUAGUAGGCGUAUGUUUGAAUGGAAGGUCGGUGCAUAAUAUUAAGGGCAUCAGUAAGCUGACAAAUUUGAGAGAACUUAAAAUUAUUUUGGAUGGGACUAUUGAAUCGUCCACUGUGCAAAUGAAUGCCCUGCAGUCUUCCAUCCCCAUGCUUUCCAACCUAAUGAUCCUUGAAAUCCAAAGAGAACAUGUUAUUAAGCUGGAUGUCCAAGGCUUGGUUAGCAGGGCACUAUUCCCUCAAGUAUCUCUGAUUUGGGAGCUCAAUCUUUUGUGUUGCGAGUUUAAAAUGUGCCCCAAGUGGAUUGGUCAGCUCCACCAUAUAUACAAGUUAACAAUUACCGUGAGGGAGGUGGCUGAAAGUAUCAGCAUUGUUGCAAGGAUGCCUUCACUUGCUUACUUAAAUUUGCUUACUGAUCUUUUGGAUAGUAAGCAAAAGGAAGAAAGUGUAGUCAUCCCUGGCGGUGGGGCAUUCAAAAACCUCAAAUACCUGGAUUUUAACUGUAAAAAUGUUUUAGUGAUAUUUGAAGUAGGGGCAAUGCCAAAGCUAGAGGAGCUUAGCAUAGCGCUUCGCUACCGCAUGGCUCACCGAUUCCUACCGGUUGGUAUCGAGCACUUCCCAACUGGCACCCUUAAAGCUAUUGUCCUAAAAGUUCUUCCCAAUGACCCCAGACUGGUGCAAGAAUCGCCACAAGUCAUGGAACAACGCAAGAAAUCAGUGAGGCACCUGUUGUAGGAGGCAUUUAAGCCACAUCAUCCUACCGCCGGGAUUGUCCUUUACUUUUGUUACGACUUAGCUGUCCCUAUAGAUGAUAAAGAUAUCAAAGGUGGUGCAAUGCUACCACGGUCGAACUCGAAGGACUUCACUAUUGAAGCUAGUGGAGGGAGAUCAAGCCCCUUUGUCGAAAUGAGGAAGAGGAAGGCGUCUGAUGGGAUCCAUAUCAGAGAUCCUAUAGACCCUACUCCUCUCCGUCAGGUACCUCCGCAGAGCUCUACCAAGGCAACAGAGCCUCCUCCUCCAUCGAAGAGGAGAAAGAGUGGUUUUAAUCCUCCAAGAGCAUCUGAUAAGGAGACAAGCAUACUCCAAAAUGAUGGAAGGUCCACCGAACAGGGUGAGAGCACGACAGCUGGAGAGCCGACCCAUACUGCUGAAGAGCAAAGGACUUCCAUUCAUCCACAGACCGAUGCCGAGGCUUCUUCCGCCAUUAAGGAUUUAUCUCCAAGUCACCCACAUCAUCCAGUGGUGGGCCACUAUGACCGUGAACCGUCUAUUGCUUAAGAAGCAUCCACCCUGCUUCAAAGGAGCGAGGCGGUGUACCACGGCCACGGGCCAAGUUGCGCACCAGCCGAUAGAGGGGACGGCAGCUCGAGGAGGGCUGCAACAGAGAGUGAUGUGAAUAAGCUGCUUGGUUAAGUACCCGCGUGGGUGCCAGAGGGUGAGGAACGCCAGUGCCCUCCACACUUUGGUUUUACCAAAGGCUAUCCCAUCGAUGAGACAAAGGCUAUCGGCAGCGUUGAUGACACGGAGGAGGAGACCGAGUGGGUCGAAUCUACUCCCGUAGUAGACACUUUACUGAAGCGUCUCCCUCGGAUGAUCAAAGAUCUGCAGGAAUUCCAUCACGAUGCCACACAGAUCUUGCGGCCGAAUAUGGAGACAUGGGGGAAACGCAGCUGUGUGAAGUCGCAAUACAUUAAGGACACCGGGGACGUGGUUACGAGCCAUGUAGAUCCUGCGAAGCGGAUAAGGGAGCUGCCAUGCAAUAAGGAUGAAGCCGAAGAGCGGGCA